GUGUUUCGAUCUGGUUGAUCGAGGUUCGGCGUUGUACGCCCUGGUUUCUGGCUUCGACCUAGGCACCGGCUUUAGCCGGGUUUCGUUUGAGCAUAUCAGCAUGAUCUAGUCACAGCACUGUGUAUUCUAGACACCAGGUUGGUUUGGCCACCAACCAAGGGGUGUACGUAUCCGGAUAGGUCAUCGGUGACGCAUGAAUAAGCUCGCAGUGUCUACUCUGUGACAGGCAACGCUUGAGGUCUACGGACCAAUAUAGCAGCAUCAGAUUGGGUAUAUUUGGACUUAUUGUCUGGUUGACGCAUAUAACUAUAGUAUCGGUUGUUGCUUGUAUACCUUCAGUUCUUUCGUUACAUUGUCUUGCUACUAUAGUCUUGUUACAUGUAUACAUUCAGUUGUUCAUUACAGUAGCGAUAGUUGUACUUUCUUUCAUAUAUAUGUCUCUUUCAUUUAUUAUUAUUGCUACUGUAUUUCUACUGAUCUGUACUGUUGUUUAGCUCUUCCUGAUCCGGUGAGUACUCCUCGCCUUUAUCGGCUUGCGGUACCCACUGGGAGGGGAGACAUGUUUACAUGUUCUCACCUCCCCCAUCAUUUUUCAGGUAUCGCAGGCGGUGAGAGUUGAGACGAGAUGUGAGACACGUUUGUAGCGGUCGAUAGAACUUCCGACCCAGGUUAUUCGGUUUAGUUUCUACCCUUACUAUUAUGUUGAUACAGCUCAGAUAGUUUAUAUGGUUCAGUAUUUUUAUUACAUUUGAAAAUGUGGGUUUUCAUGAAUGUAAUAAAGGGAUUUGUGAAAUUUGUGAAAUGAAAAACGGUUUUCUACUCCUCGUGGUAGCGCGUUUUAAAGAAAGAGUUUUCAUGUGGGAAACAGCUUUCAAAAAAAUU
rnacentral:lncRNA from 1 species